GCCGAUUCUAAUGAUACCCUGAAGCAUUUCUUUUCUUGUCUUUCUCUUUUUCUUUACUGGCGCCUCAGACAUUUUUGCUAAAUUUUAUACCAGUUUAUGUACAAUACGACAAUCAUGACACGCAUCAACAUCUGCAAGAACACAAUAUCCGCAUAUACAAGGAAUGCAGUAAAACAGCUGUCGUGUAAAAUGUAUUGAUUGUAGAUCUGAUAAAGGUUUGGCUGAAAUCCGAGUCUUUCGAUCACAUGUUUGUAAUCUCCCUCACUGAUUGGUCGAUGUUCCUCGGUGUCCAAUUUUGGCGGUCGAAUUGAUUUUUUUUUGCUGUCGAAUUGAUAUUUCAUGCGACAGAUUGCUCGUACACAGCACUGUUUCUAUUACAAACCAACUUUAUCUUCGGAAUUAUGUCGGAAAUAAAUUUGCUCUUGUCCUUUGGAAUGACGACCAACAAUUUAGUGUAGUGGAAGAGGAGGAUAUAACAGGAGAGGCUAAAUUGGGUGAGAUUCGACCAGUGGCUUGGAGGGUCAAGAAGAAGAAGGGUGAUGUGAUAACGAGCUGGUAUGAAGCGAAAAUACUUCAAUUCUCUGGUAAGCUUAUAUUUUAUUCGUGUGUAUUGAUGUAAUUAUCAAUAUUUCAUUAAUACUCUUCGUAAUUUGUCUUGCUGUCGGCCGUUGUCGAUGUAUAUUUAUAUGGUGUAUUUUAUAUGCAAGCCAUACAACGAACUUCUUCACCUGCAUCUAUAAUGACAGCCAACGAUAAAGCAUGCAAGCUAGACAAUCUCGAUCGUCACUGCGUACAACUAGAUUAUAGGUCGCAUUUAUAUGACCAUAUACUAUAAGCAAGGUAUAUAUAGCGAUAUAUUUUAUUUUUAGAUUUUAUGAAUGAAAAACUGUCUUGAAUCUUGACCUACAAUGCCAGUAUUUAUACAGACAUAUAUACAGUGUCGUUAAUCGCGAAAUUAAUCCCUGAAAUUAUUGCAAGUUUAGUUGUUGAGCCAGUCUCAGUAACUUGAAACUCUACGGCGAAACUCUAUAAAUUAUAAAAGCUAUCGCAAUGAAAUAAAGAUCAUUGCAUUCAGAAAGGACUAACUUCAAAUUUCUCAUAACAAAUAUAAAAAUGAUAUAAAAACCCGUUAGGCG